GAGUGGGUUUGUGAAGAAAUUGAGAUGCUGAAAGGGAGAAAGGUUUCAGGGCGGGGAGAGGCAGUUGCAGCCACAUACGCCUUCGGUCCCGCCGAAGAUGACGUCAUCAUCAAACACAGGCUUCUCACUCGCACAACAACAACGAGGGGCGAGCCUCCAUUGAAGAAGCUUCAGAAGAAGUUCACCGCUUUCGUCUCCGAGAUUGAAAAGGACGACGCCGACAACUACAGCGACUGCGAUAAGCUCGCGAGAGCGUUCUUGCAGGAGCUCACGACUUUCGAGAUCCCGCUUCUGAAGAGCAAAGCCAUUGUUGAUGCAAAUAUCAGAGAGCAGGAGAAUUUCAACGAGCUCAAGGACGAAACGAAUCGACAGAUCUUGAUAGCGCAGAACGACAUUGAAGAUCUUAAGAAGCUUCUGGAAGAGAGUAAAGUUGAGAGACGGCAUAAAGAGGAGUGUGAGGCUAUCAGGAAAUUGAUUGCUCAGCAACCGCCAAGGUCAGAGACGCAGAAGCUCAUUACGCAGUUGGAGAAAGAAAUCAUGGCGUUGGACAUGGAGAAUACUGCUGGUUCCAGAUUGUUGGAGCUUCGGAAGAAGCAAUUCGCUCUUUUGUUGCAUGUGGUGGAUGAGUUGCAGAACACGAUAGAGGAAGAGCAGAAGAAUCUGGUCGAGGAGAUGAGAAUAGCAACCGAGGAACUUAAGAAUGGGAUGGAGAAUGGAAGUGGAGGCUCAGAAGCAAUGACAAUUGACCAGUAACUAGGUUCGGUCUUCAAUCUUGCUGUUGUAACAUCAUCUACUCUUUAAGAAGCAAACAUGGAGUUUUCCCCCCUAAGGUUGACUUUGACAUGCAUAUGCCCAUGUUGCCUUUGUGUGACCCUCAUAGUUGAGUUUGCUCUGGCUUUGAUCAAGGCUCCAUUUUCGGUCAUGGAGUGGUUCACCUCUAAGAUUCCAUGUUAGAGAUAUUUGUAUCAUAUGAAGUCUUUGAGUAGUGAUGAAUAUGAUAGCAAUCCACCGUAUAUUCUUUUGUUAA